GAUAGGCUGUUCUAGGAGGGUGGGUCGGCUAGCUCCCAUGUCAGGGAAGAUCGGGGGUGAUGCCAGUGGAAACGUUUGAGGUGUUCAUGGUCAUGUUUUCGUUUGGAACCUUUCUCAUUGCGUUGUUCACAUUGGUAAUUAAAUUGACCAAUAAAAAAUAGACCUCCCUGCCGGUAAAAGGGAGAGGUCUAUUCGCCAGGCCGAUCCCCUGAAGGAACGGCUAUCCAGGGCCGCAGUUGCAGCUGCGGCC
rnacentral:sRNA from 1 species